UUUGGUAGGCAAACCUAGUUCUAGAGCGAGCAUUCAUUAAGCUAAUGCGAUAACAGACUACACACGCCCACACUAUCAGAAACACACCAUACACCAACACCCACAGAACAUGGAUAUGGGCCUGUUAUUUAAUGCAACGCUAUUCAUCAUUUAUUUGAAUAGAUUGCCUGCUCUCAGGUUUGGGCUAUAAGCUGAUUCAAAUGUCCAAAAUGCUUCCAAAUGAUGAUGAAUAUAUUUCAAUUACUCCACAAUAGCCUCUCCAUAGCCUCGAAAUGCAUGCGCAUUGCGCACACACACACAAACACACACACACAUGGUCAUUAUGAACAUAAUCAGAAACAGGCAAAAAGACAGACAGGUGGACUGGCAGACAGUUGGAUUGGAUGUCGGAUGGAGGCUGUCAAAUGUAUAUUCCAAGGAGACGGACUUUUGAUGAGGCGGCGGCAGAAAACUUCCAGUCCAUUCAAUAUACAUUUAUGAAAUA